GACAGAGGAGGCAAGCGUUGUUCGGAAUCACUGGGCUUAAAGCGCGUGUAGGCGGCUCGGAAAGUGUCGUGUGAAAUCCAGCGGCUCAACCGCUGAACUGCACGGCAAACUCCCGGGCUUGAGGUCGGUAGAGGUGCCUGGAACUCUAGGUGGAGCGGUGAAAUGCGUAGAUAUCUAGAGGAACGCCGGAGGCGAAAGCGGGGCACUGGGCCGAAUCUGACGCUGAGACGCGAAAGCGUGGGGAG
rnacentral:rRNA from 1 species